rnacentral:rRNA from 1 species
GUGUAGCAGUGAAAUGCGUAGAUAUCAAGAGGAACACCAGUGGCGAAGGCGAGUCCCUGGACGAUACUGACACUGAGGCACGAAAGCUAGGGGAGCAAACAGGAUUAGAUACCCUGGUAGUCCUGGCUGUAAACGGUGCGCAUUUGCUGUAAACGGAAUCGACCCCGUUUGUGGCGAAGCUAACGCGAUAAAUGCGCCGCCUGGGAAGUACGGUCGCAAGAUUAAAACUCAAAGAAAUUGACGGGGGCCUGCACAAGCGGUGGAGUAUGUGGCUUAAUUCGAUGCAACGCGAAGAACCUUACCUGGCCUUGACAUGCAUGUGGUAGAACCGUGAAAGCGGGACGACCCCGCAAGGGGAGCAUGCACAGGUGCUGCAUGGCUGUCGUCAGCUCGUGUCGUGAGAUGUUGGGUUAAGUCCCGCGACGAGCGCAACCCUUGUGUCCUGUUGCCACUCCCUCGAGAGAGGGAAGCACUCUGGACAGACUGCCUCGCUUAAACGAGGAGGAAGGUGGGGAUGACGUCAAGUCAGUAUGGCCCUUACGGCCAGGGCUGCACACGUACUACAAUGCCCGGCACAAAGGGAAGCGAGACCGUCAGGUGGAGCAAAUCCCAUAAAACCGGGCCCAGUUCGGAUUGUCGUCUGCAACUCGACGACAUGAAGCCGGAAUCGCUAGUAAUGGCGCAUCAGCUACGGCGCCGUGAAUACGUUCCCAGGCCUUGUACACACCGCCCGUCACAUCAUGAAAGCCGGUUGUACCCGAAGUCCAUGUGCAAACCC